AACCCCGCGUUAGACGUGGGGUUCCGUAUAGCUUAUAGCUAUGAGUAUGACAAAAAAACUCCUUCUGAUAUAAUAAAAAUGCGGUCUGGCAACUGCACUUUAAUAUCAGAAG
rnacentral:sRNA from 1 species